rnacentral:rRNA from 1 species
UACGUAGGUGGCUAGCGUUGUCCGGAUUUACUGGGCGUAAAGAGCGCGCAGGCGGUCGUUCAAGUCGAGUGUGAAAGCCCCCGGCUCAACUGGGGAGGGUCACUCGAUACUGAUCGGCUCGAAGGCAGGAGAGGGAAGCGGAAUUCCCGGUGUAGUGGUGAAAUGCGUAGAGAUCAGGAGGAACACCGGUGGCGGAAGGCGGCCUACUGGGCUGUCACUGACGCUGAGGCGCGAAAGCUCGGGGAGCGAACGGG